rnacentral:rRNA from 1 species
UGAACGCUGGCGGCGUGCCUAACACAUGCAAGUCGAACGGGCGAUAUAGCAAUAUAUUGUUAGUGGCGAACGGGUGAGGAAUAUAUAGAUAAUCUACCCUUUAGACUGGGAUAAGCCUCCGAAAGGGGGUCUAAUACCGGAUACGCUCUUGAGAUCGCAUGAUUUUGAGAGGAAAGUUUUUUCGCUAAAGGAAGAGUUUAUAUCUGAUUAGCUAGUUGGUGGGUAAUGGCCUACCAAGGCGACGAUCAGUAGCUGGUCUGAGAGGAUGGUCAGCCACACUGGGACUGAGACACGGCCCAGACUCCUACGGGAGCAGCAGUGGGGAAUAUUGCGCAAUGGGCGAAAGCCUGACGCAGCGACGCGCGUGAGUGAUGAAGGCCUCGGU